GGUGAACGCUGGCGGCGUGCCUAAGACAUGCAAGUCGAGCGGGGCAGGUUUAUACCUGUUCAGCGGCGGACGGGUGAGUAACGCGUGGGUGACCUACCCGGAAGAGGCGGACAACCUGGGGAAACCUAGUCUAAUCGGCCACUGGGUCCUGUCCUCUGGGCCAGGACAAAGGGGGGGACAGCCCGCUCCCGGUUGGGCCCGCGUCCCAUCAGCUAGUUGGUGGGGUAAGGGCCCACCACGGCGGCGACGGGUAGCCGGCCUGCGAGGAUGGCCGGCGACAGGGGCACUGGGACACGGGCCCCACUCCUACGGGAGGCAGCAGUUAGAAAGCUGCCGCAAUGGACGGAAGUCUGACGGAGCGACGCCGCGGGGAGGAGGAAGCCCUGCGGGGUGUAAACUCCUGAACUGGGGACGAAAGCCCUGUGUAGGGGGAGGACGGUACCCAGGUAAUAGCGCCGGCCAACUCCGUG
rnacentral:rRNA from 1 species